AGGGAUCAUUACUGAGUUUACGCUCUAUAACCCUUUGUGAACAUACCUAUAACUGUUGCUUCGGCGGGUAGGGUCUCCGUGACCCUCCCGGCCUCCCGCCCCCGGGCGGGUCGGCGCCCGCCGGAGGAUAACCAAACUCUGAUUUAACGACGUUUCUUCUGAGUGGUACAAGCAAAUAAUCAAAACUUUUAACAACGGAUCUCUUGGUUCUGGCAUCGAUGAAGAACGCAGCGAAAUGCGAUAAGUAAUGUGAAUUGCAGAAUUCAGUGAAUCAUCGAAUCUUUGAACGCACAUUGCGCCCGCCAGCAUUCUGGCGGGCAUGCCUGUUCGAGCGUCAUUUCAACCCUCAAGCUCUGCUUGGUGUUGGGGCCCUACAGCUGAUGUAGGCCCUCAAAGGUAGUGGCGGACCCUCCCGGAGCCUCCUUUGCGUAGUAACUUUACGUCUCGCACUGGGAUCCGGAGGGACUCUUGCCGUAAAACCCCCAAUUUUCCAAAGGUUGACCUCGGAUCAGGUAGGAAUACCCGCUGAACUUAA
rnacentral:rRNA from 2 species